CUGUCGGUUUUUACCUUGUACAAAUUCAGUUUGUACACAUGAGCACUCAUUGCAUCUCACUCACUGCUGCUACAUUUAAUAUCUUUCUGAGACAUGAAUGUCAUGUGACCAAAUCCUGACAGUUCUUAUACAUGUCCUCUGGUUGAUGAAUGUUGAACGUGUCUAGCUGACAUUGACCUGGCAUCACACUCUUUCUCUCCAAUUCUAAUGCAAUAUUUCAUUUAGUACAGAAAUAUAAAAACAUUAAUGUGUUAUCUACUUUUGUUUUUCAUUGGCUAUUUAAAAACUUUUUUUUUCACUAAUAUGUGCAUUUUACUGUCUUAUUUACACAAUAAAUGUCUACAAUCACA